GUUUUAGAAACUGCCUCCGCCCUAUUGGGCGGCCCUUACGCACAAGGGGCACCAGCUUUAAAAAUGGUACAAAAACGUUAUAUUGGAUUACAUCAAUGGUUGGGACCACUUAGAACCAAAGAAUUAAAGGAACACAUUGUAGGUGACUAUGUACGUUUGUAUAGAUGAUUUAAGGCUUAUCAAAAAUAUAUAUAUUGGUAAUGUAGACACCGUAUUUGAAUUUAUUAUUCUCGUUACCUCUAAAUGACAAUAGGUCCUAGGAAAGUAUGUUUAAAAGAACGUUUGCGAAUCGAUAAACUCAUAUUUCCAUUUGCCCAUUUUUUCUAGGAUAGUCAAAAUGUCUGCUUUAAGAAUUCUUUAAAACAAGCAUUUUCAGGAGUUUUUAGGAAUGAUAAAAUUUAACUUUUAUCAUAUUUUACUUAACUGGUUUUUCACGUUAAAUUCAUCAUUUUACAAAUGGUAUUAAACCUUUUUCAGGUUAAUUUUACUUCUUUGCACAUGGAAUUUAUUCAUUUGCAAACCAAAUUCACCCUUUUGCAAAGCAAAUUCAGCUUUUGUGUGUGGAGACAACUAUUAUAUAGGUAUUAUUUAUAUGAAAAAAAAAAAAUUAAA